rnacentral:lncRNA from 1 species
GGUUAAUUCCGGUUAUGCCUGUUUGGCAAUACUACAAAAGUGAUGCUGUGUCCUCCGAAGUGUCUGGAGGCAAAUGAUGGCGACUUGUUAACCAUGGUCACGGUUUUCCGACAACGGGGACGUCCAGACCUAUGGCAACUACUCGGCCAGUGCCAGAUCCAGCCACAGGGGACCCAUCAGGCCCACGGAAGACUACCUCAGGGCUACCUGAGAAGUACCAAAGGCUCCCUUGGAAAACUAUAGGGGGGCAGGAAAUAUAAAACUAAUUUCUACAGGGUAGGAUCUUAUUGAUAGAAAAAAAGAAGCACGUAUUUUCCAUUUCCAGCAAGUGUGUCAACCAGGAGAGAAAGUCUGGGCGCAAGCGAGAGCGGUCCGCCACAGCCCAGGUGGGCCCUUUGGGAGGGAGGAAUGUGCCUCUGAGGGCGAGGACCACUUGCUGUAUGCCUAGUGUAUUCGUUUCCUAUUUCUGCUGUUGCAAAUUUGGUGACUUAAAGCAACACAGAUCUAUUCUCUCAUAGUUCUGUCAGUGUUUAUACUGGUUGGUCCCACUCAGAUCAUCAAGGAUAAUCUCCCCGUCUCAGGUCCUUCACCUUGAUUAUCCCUGCAAAGUCCCCUUUACCGUGCAAGAUAACGCAGUCGCAGGUUUUAGGGAUGAGGCUGUGGGCCUCUUCGGGGAGCCAUUGGUUAGCCUACCACACUCAGAUACAGGGCAGACCAUUUAUGCAGAAGGCAAGUCCACCAGGUCCUAGCUCCCCCGUGAGACCUGUCCUGUCCAGAUUGGCGUGAAUUAUCUUGCUCUUUGGACGUGAGUCUUUGAACUGUGCGCCUUUGUGCCAGAUGACUAAUUCUGGUCCAAUCAUCUCUGUCCAGGAUGGCAAGGAUCAAUGGUACAGAACUCAUGGGAUUAAACCCUAACUCGGGUUGCUUUCUUCAGGGAGAAGCGGAGCAGGAACACUUAGAGAAGGGGCUUGGGGCAUAGAGUCAAGCAAAGUGGCCAAGAGUAAGAGGUGUAGAGGCGACCUCAUGGGUUCUAGUCCCAAGCCUGCUGCAUACUAGCUGUGGAACCUUGAAUAACUGUCUUAACCAUCUGGCCUGUUUUUACCUGGGGCAAAUAGAGCUUGUAGUAUCACCAUCAUAUGGUUGUCAUGAGAACGAAAUAGAAGGUUGUUCAUGUAAAAGGGUUAAUUAGCAAAGGGCCUGACACAGGGUAAGGGCUCAAGGAAUAUUGCCAUUCUUAUUAUUU